rnacentral:rRNA from 1 species
AGAGUUUGAUUCUGGCUCAGAACGAACGCUGGCGGCAGGCCUAACACAUGCAAGUCGAGCGCGCCUUCGGGCGAGCGGCGGACGGGUUAGUAACGCGUGGGAACGUGCCCAGAUCUACGGAAUAGCCACUGGAAACGGUGAGUAAUACCGUAUACGCCCUUCGGGGGAAAGAUUUAUCGGAUUUGGAUCGGCCCGCGUUAGAUUAGGUAGUUGGUGGGGUAACGGCCUACCAAGCCUACGAUCUAUAGCUGGUUUUAGAGGAUGAUCAGCAACACUGGGACUGAGACACGGCCCAGACUCCUACGGGAGGCAGCAGUGGGGAAUCUUGGACAAUGGGGGCAACCCUGAUCCAGCCAUGCCGCGUGAGUGAAGAAGGCCCUAGGGUCGUAAAACUCUUUCGCCUGUGAUGAUAAUGACAGUAGCAGGUAAAGAAACCCCGGCUAACUCCGUGCCAGCAGCCGCGGUAAUAC